rnacentral:rRNA from 1 species
AGUGAACGCUGGCGGUAGGCCUAACACAUGCAAGUCGAACGGCAGCACAGUAAGAGCUUGCUCUUACGGGUGGCGAGUGGCGGACGGGUGAGGAAUACAUCGGAAUCUACUUUUUCGUGGGGGAUAACGUAGGUAAACUUACGCUAAUACCGCAUACGACCUACGGGUGAAAGCAGUGGAUCUUCGGACCUUGCGCGAUUGAAUGAGCCGAUGUCGGAUUAGCUAGUUGGCGGGGUAAAGGCCCACCAAGGCGACGAUCCGUAGCUGGUCUGAGAGGAUGAUAAGCCACACUGGAACUGAGACACGGACCAGAGUACUACGGGAGGCAGCAGUGGGGAAUAUUGGACAAUGGGAGAAAGCAUGAUACAGCGAUACCGCGUGGGUGAAGAAGGCCUUCGGGUUGUAAAGCCCUUUUGUUGGGAAAGAAAAGAAGAAGGUUAAUACCAAGCUGUUCUGACGGUACCGAAAGAAUAAGCACCGGCUAACUUCGUG